rnacentral:lncRNA from 1 species
CUGGAACUGUUCUGCUUCAACCGCUCCAAAAAUCACCGACAACGCCUUUUCUUAAACUUAGAUGCAUUGCGUUCUGCCUCUGACCAAUCCUCUUUUGGCUUUGGCUUCUUCUCACCUCAUGUGACUAUGGUAGGCUCUUCCCAACCAAUCUCCACAGCUGUCCACGCAUCUUCAUUGAUUCCUCGAAUCAUUUGCUUCAUGCGAGCCUUCCAAUGACCAUAUUGGUCCGCAUUCAACACAAUCUCCUUCUGCAUAGAAAUAAUCGUGUCUAUCUUCACCUUCAGGAUAACACCGAUAACUUAAGUGCCCCGCUUUGAUACCACUUGUUACUGCAAGAUGACACUAUAAUAGUAUUGCAGAAGAUAACUCAAGAGACAAAAUAAUACAAGCAAACACUCUGCUUUAUUAGAAUCUCCUUUAAACAAUCUAUUACAAGACCUUGUUUAUUCAGCUUUACUCGUCUAGUGUUAACACCCUAACACAC